rnacentral:rRNA from 1 species
AACGAACGCUGGCGGCGUGCCUAACACAUGCAAGUCGAGCGCGAAAAGGGCAACCUGAGUAGAGCGGCGCACGGGUGCGUAACACGUGGGUAAUCUGCCUUAGAGUCGAGGAUAACCUUCCGAAAGGUUGGCUAAUACUCGGUAAGCUUACGGUGUCUUCGGACGCUGUGGGAAAAGUAGGCCUCUGUUUACAAGCUUACGCUCUGAGAUGAGCCCGCGGCCCAUCAGCUAGUUGGCGGUGUAACGGACCACCAAGGCAACGACGGGUAGCUGGGCUGAGAGGACGAUCAGCCACACUGGAAGUGCGACACGGUCCAGACUCCUACGGGAGGCAGCAGUGGGGAAUUUUCCACAAUGGGCGAAAGCCUGAUGGAGCAACGCCGCGUGUGUGAUGAAGGUUUUCGGAUCGUAAAGCACUUUCGACCGGGACGAAAAACCUCUGGCUAACAUCCAGGGGCCUGACGGUACCGGGAGAAGAAGCACCGGCUAACUCUGUGCCAGCCGCCGCCGUAA